rnacentral:rRNA from 1 species
GACAGAGGAUGCAAGCGUUAUCCGGAAUGAUUGGGCGUAAAGAGCUCGUAGGCGGUCUGUUGCGUCGGCUGUGAAAACCCGGGGCUCAACCCCGGGCCUGCAGCCGAUACGGGCAGACUAGAGUUCGGCAGGGGAGACUGGAAUUCCUGGUGUAGCGGUGAAAUGCGCAGAUAUCAGGAGGAACACCGGUGGCGAAGGCGGGUCUCUGGGCCGAUACUGACGCUGAGGAGCGAAAGCGUGGGGAGCAAACAGG